rnacentral:rRNA from 1 species
GACGAACGCUGGCGGCGUGCCUAAUACAUGCAAGUCGAACGCAGUGGGGACGGGUGAGUAACACGUGGGUAACCUCCCAUCAGAGGGGAUAACACUUGGAAACAGGUGCUAAACCGGUACUGAUGGAUGGACCCGCGGUGCAUUAGCUAGUUGGUGAGGUAACGGCUCACCAAGGCCACGAUGCAUAGCCCACCUGAUAGGGAGAUCGUCCCCACUGGAACGUAGACACUGCCCAGCCUCCGACGGGAGGCAGCAGUAGGGAAUCUUCGGCAAUGGACGAAAGUCUGACCGCGCCACGCCGCUGGUUUGAAGAAGGUUUUCGGAUCGUAAAACUCUGUUGUUAGAGAAGCGGUAUCUAACCAGAAAGCCACGGCUAACUACGUGCCAGCAGCCGCGGUAAUUC